AGUAGGUGAUGGAGCCAAGGAUGAUUUGCCGACAUCCACUCAUAAUCUGUCUGGACAAAUGCAUAUUGUACAUGACGUCAUGAUAUGGAAGGAAGUUGGCAAUUUGUCCUUGGCUACAUAUCUUGCUGU
rnacentral:pre_miRNA from 1 species